UACAAAAUUUCAAAAAUUUAUGAUAAAAUAUUUCUUUACAAUAUCAUAAUAAGCUAUAAAAAACCAAGGUGAUACUAGUUGAGCUAUAAAAACACUAGCCAUAUUAUUUGGGAUACACAAAAACCAUAUCAUGUAAAAUUGAUACAAAAACUCCAUUUCAAAGUAUAAUGAUUUAAAUUUAGUUUUUAUUAAUUUUUAUAAUCUAUCCUACCCUUUACUGUAUAUAUCCUUAUCGAUCCAUCUUCUCCACUCGUCUAAUAUUUCAUUUCUUCAUUCUUCUCCCCACCGCCACCAGCUGCUCCUCCGACCGCAACACCACCAAUAAGCCACUGUCACUUCAAGAUCUGCCGUGAUCACCGUCGCCUCUUCCUCUAGCACCUCCUACUCCUUCUCUCAGACCGUCGUACCCGUUAUCAAUUUCUGAUCCUCCAUCAACGCCAGAUCCGCCUCCUCUUCGUCCUCCUUCCUCACCAGCACCACUUACACCUUUUCCAACUCCAGUACAAUCAAAUCUCACUUCUAAAUCACCUCCACCAUCACCACCGCCAAUUUUACGACCUUCGAUUAGUUCGGAUCCAAUUUGUUUUUGAAAAAUUUAGCGAUGGUUGGAUUUGUUCGAAGCGGUGAAAAUGGUGGUUUUAUGAAUAUUUGGUGGUGGUGGGUGGUGGAUGACGUUACCAUAAGUUGCUGGUUGGUGGUGGCGGUGGUAUGUGAGCUGGUCGACGGCAUUGGCGAUGGUCCACGAUAAUGGUGGUCGGCAUCGGCGAUGGUAGAGUCGAUUCCUAACUUAAGAAGAAGUAUGAGAAGAAGGUGUGGGAGGAGGAAGCAGAGAACAAAUAUGGGGAUACCUUAAUGCUUUGGAAUUUCCUUAUAAAAAGGAAGAAGAUUAUAGAAUCAAUUCCUACCUUCUGGUCAACUGCUGUUGGUGUAAUCUAUCCUUCACCCAUUAUUCAUUUUUUUUCUAAGAUUUGGUUUCUUGGUCCCCAGUUUACAUGUUGAUUGUAGUGCCUUAUUGACUUGUAUAUGCCUGUUUGGAUUGGCAAUUUUAUCAUUUGCAGUUUA